UUAAAAAAUAAUCAGCCAUAGAUACUAGCCCUAAAAUAAUUUUAUUUUGGUCUAUCCCAAAUGUAUGUCCUUUUCUUCCUACUGUGAUUUGAUGUGCAGGAUCACAGAAUCAUAGAAUAGUUAAGGUUGGAAAGGACCUUAAGAUCCCACUGACUUGUACAUUACAAAAAAGACCAAAACCAGAGCACCUAGGGUCUACUGUAUAUAAGAUGAGAUAUUUGACAAUCUGGCAAGACCGAGAAGACCCUUGCCCAGGUGAAGGAGCCUUCCUCAUUGCAAGCUUAGUAACAAAAGAGAAUGACACAGCAGAUAUUAUCAUUAUAUGCAAAUCACUAACCAAUCAUCAUAACUGAGAGUGUACUACCUUGUAAUUUUUGUGUUUAAAUGUAAUGACAAAAUUGGCAUGGAGUGUGCUUGAUUUGUGAAAAUUCCACUUAGCACCAAG